rnacentral:rRNA from 1 species
AGGGCAGCAGUGGGGAAUCUUGCGCAAUGGGGGAAACCCUGACGCAGCGACGCCGCGUGGACGAUGAAGACCUUCGGGUUGUAAAGUCCUGUUCUGGGGGAAGAAAUCUUAAGGAGCUAAUACCUCCCUAAGUUGACGGUACCCCAGGAGAAAGCUCCGGCUAAUUAUGUGCCAGCAGCCGCGGUAAUACAUAAGGAGCAAGCGUUAUCCGGAAUUAUUGGGCGUAAAGAGCUCGUAGGCGGUCUUAAAAGUCAGGUGUGAAAUGAUCAGGCUCAACCUGAUAAGGUCAUCUGAAACUUUAAGACUUGAGGAUAGGAGAGGAAAGUGGAAUUCCCGGUGUAGCGGUGAAAUGCGUAGAUAUUGGGAGGAACACCAGUGGCGAAGGCGGCUUUCUGGCCUAUCCCUGACGCUGAGGAGCGAAAGCCAGGGGAGCAAACGGGAUUAGAUACCCCGGUAGUCCUGGCCCUAAACGAUGGAUACUAGGUGUGGGAGGUAUCGACCCCUUCUGUGCCGCAGCUAACGCAUUAAGUAUCCCGCCUGGGGAGUACGGUCGCAAGGCUG